GGAAACGGAUGCUAAUACCCCAUAGGUGGAUUGGUCGCAUGACGAAUUCAUUAAAGGUGGCUUUGCUACCACUCAUGGAUAGCCUCGCGGCGUAUUAGCUAGUUGGUAAGGUAAUGGCUUACCAAGGCAGUGAUACGUAGCCGACUUGAGAGGGUGAUCGGCCACACUGGGACUGAGACACGGCCCAG
rnacentral:rRNA from 1 species